ensembl:lncRNA
GUUAAAAAGGCCUUCUUUGCCUUGGUAGCCAAUGGUGUUCGAGCAGCGCCUCUGUGGGAGAGUAAAAAACAAAGUUUUGUAGGAAUGCUAACAAUUACAGAUUUCAUUAAUAUACUGCAUAGAUACUAUAAAUCACCCAUGCUAUUUGUGUGUGUGUUUUAAGAUUUUUUUUUCUUUAUUGGUGCAGGGCUAGUGGUGCUGGUGGUUGACUUUUCCCAGUGUGUGUGAUGUGCAGGAAACCUCAGUGUAGAUCAGUCUGCUAUCUGAGGCUUGGCGAAGAUAGUCGCAGGAGAAAUCGAAGGCAGUAAAUUGCUGCUUUGUUCAGCCUUCAGAAAUCCUUGCAUUAGUGGAAUUCUGUGUGUUUAUUGCACACAGAGUAUUAGUCAUUACCUACAUAGUCUAGACGUUUCACUGAGCUUGUGAUCUUUAAGGGCAGCGUGGGCUCGCUGUAGUGCUGAGACUCUGCCGGGACGGCCAAGGAAGGAGGCCCCGCUCGCUCUGGUCCAGGGACAGGUGAGCGUGACACAGGCUUGUCUUCCAGGCCUGUUGGUGCGAGGGCAGCUUCAUGCAGUUACCUCUGAAAUGGUAUAACGAGAACUAUACGUCCUCUGUGGUUUUAAAGAAGUAACACUUAAAAUUGGAGGAAUUCGGUGUGGACAUUUUCCUGCCCGUUGAGACUGUGGUGACCGAGUUUAGCGGCAGAGCUCCUGGUCCGGCUGUUUAUAGGAGCACAGUUUGGAAAGGACAUAGGACCUUCAUCUAACGCUAUGACUUUUGUGAUUCCAUCAGCUCGUUUGGUUUUUGUUGCCUCGGGGAGUUUUUCGUUUUGUUUCGUUUGGCAGGGGUGGGGAAAGACAGAAUUGUAUGCUUUGUUUCUUUAGCUAGUACUGUUUAGGGUAUCUAAUAGGUAAAAAUCCACUUAAUACUGUUUUUACGUGUAAUGGUCAAUACUGCCCAAUAAUUAACUUCCUACGUAAAAUGGAAAAAUAAGUUUCUUCAUAAGGCAUACUCUCAAAAGGAAGUUUUACUGAAGACUUCAUAAGUAUUCCAUAUUUAUCUCAUGUGACAUAUCUGGUAAAUACCACCUGUGCAGCUGAAUCCUUCCUGGCUUUCCUAAUAAUGGUCACAUCUCUGCUUUUGGACUAGCGCAAGUGGCGCUCAUGUGAUUAUUGGGUGGAUAUAGGUGGAUAAAAUGCAGCUAACCCCCAGAGAGUAAAUCUCAGCAGUGGCUAAUUAAAUCAGAAUUUCUAAAGAGCAGUUAUAUUUAAAGAUACAGUUCAGAGUUUUUAAUACUUGAGGAUACAUUUUUUCUCCACAUUACUGUAUCACUGUAUCACUUAUUUUCUAAUUACAAACAGAACAAUGCUAUUGUGAAAGGUACAGCUCAUUUCGUUUUUAAGUAUCAUUAAUGUAUAAACGCAGUUGGGUUUCGUACAUUCACCUUUUCUAGUCUUUUUGUGCGUUGGUUGGCACCUUCUGUGUACACAGUGGUGUAACCUGUGAAAACAAAUCCGUUGUACCCACACCAUUUACUGCAAAAACUUUUUUGUGAAAGAAUUGCUUUUACUGCCUUAAACGUUGGUCUGUCGCUGGGCUCUAUUCUCUUUUCUUGUUCUGCUUGCUUGUCUCUAUGCCAAUACCAAAAUCUCUUGAUAACUAUUUUUUUUAAGCCUGCUGGUAUUAUCAGGAGUCUGCAAAUCGGUUUGGUAAGGAAGUGGCAUCUUACCAGUAUCUUGCAGUCCGUGAGUCUUGCAACCUGUGAACGUGAUGUGUCUUUCUCUUGCAUUACUUCAUCGGCUGAGACCUCCAGCACAUGCUGAAGGCCUGAAAGCAGACCUCCGCGCCUCGGGUCUCUCCGCAGGUCACUGUUAUAUACAUAUGGGGUCGGCUGUAGCUUUUUCGUAGAUGCCCUUAUUGUGUUGAAGAUGUUCCUUCUUUUCCAGGUUUGUCAAAAGUGUUUAUCUUGAAUGGAUGGUGAAUCGUGUCGAGUGCUUUCUGAGAGGCUGGAGGUCGUCAGGCUCCUGUUCUCCAUUCUGUUAGGUGUCAUUUCUUCAGACUCUUCUGCCCCCUCCCAUUUUCUGGGAGUCUAGUGACUCAACUGAUGCUCUCAUUUCAGGGGGUUUUUCCCAGUGGUGUUCUCUCUCUGUCCUUCAUUUCAGAUGUUUUUUAUAUCUUCAAUUUCACUAUGUUGCUCCUCCGUAGUAUCUUAUCUCCUAUUACUCUUUUUCCUUUCAGAUAGUGUAUUUUCUGUUCUGGAAGUUCCUUUUUUUUUUAAUAUUUUCCAUUUCUCUUUGUUCACGUUUUCCUUUAAAUCCUUCAGCAUAUUAGUUGUUACAUCCAAGAUGUAGAUCAGAUGCUAUUUCCAUCAUCUUUAUUGUUAAUAUUAGGUUGUUGAAUGUCCGUAUUGUCUGCCUUUAAAGAGCCCUGGAGUUUGUUUGGGCAGGCAGUGAAAUCACUGGUCCAUCCUGUAUUCUGCCCAUUUAGAGUAUCCAGUCACAGAGUCGUGCAGCCGUCACUACAGUCAAUUUUAGAACAUUCCGAUUACCCCCCAAAGAAACCUCACACCUCCUAGCUGUGACACGCCUCCAGUCCUAGGCAGCCACUCAUGUGCUUUGUCUCCAUAGGUUUGCCUGUCCUGGACACCUCAUGUAAACAGACUCAGGCCACAUGUGGUCCUUGGUGGUUGGCCUCUUCCAUGUAACCCAGUGCUUUCAAGGCUCCUCCGUGUUGUGGCUCCAUUUGUCCUUUGAUUCUUUUUAUCACCAAGGAACGUCCCACUGUGUGGCUGCGCUGCAUCUCCCUUGCCCAUCGUCGUUUCGUGGACACGGAACGGUCCCCGCUUUUUGGCUGUGACUCAUGCUGCUGUGUGAACACUCCUGUCCCAGUGUUUAUGGGAUAUCUGGUUCCGUUUCUCUUGGAUAUAGGCCUGGGAGGCGAUUCUGUGGGUCACGUGGUAACCACUGUCAGACUCUGCCUCGGCGGCUGCAUCCCUUUACACGCCCCCCAGCAGUGGACCAGGGUUCCGGCUGCUCCACAUCCUCACUCACGCGUGUUACUGUCUCUCGUUUUGGUGGCGGCCACUCUAGUGGAUGUGAAUUGGCCUCUCGUUGGUAUUUUGGCUGAGCUUCCCUGAGGGCUAAGGAUGUUGAGCAUCGUUUUCACUUGCUUAUGUAGAGGCUUGUUUUCAGGCUUUGAUAGGCUCUUCAUCGGUGGUCUGGCUGGUUGAGUUCUGCUGCCACUUCUAGGCUCUCCAUGGGGUUCCCUGGUUACUGUGCGAGGACUGCCCCCUGUGCCAGGUCCCACACAGUGGCACCCCGUGCCUGCCCCAGUGUUCAGUCAGAAAUUCCAGGAGCUCCCUCCACAUCCUCCUCUUCUCUUCCUGGGCAGCUCCCUCCUGUCUGGUACUCUGCCCUGCAAAUUCCACUGGCCCCAGUCUGCCCAGACCUGACCUUCUGCUCCCUCAACUCAGACUGCCAUGCUCUGCCUGGGCUCAGGUGCCUGCAUCACAGUCCAGAUGUCUUUCAGAAUCCUUCUCAAGAAUCACCUCUGACGGGGAGCUCCCUGUGGUGUUGCCCUCAAGCAGAAUUGGUCGUAUUUCAUUAAUUCACCUUAUGGCACUUUUCAGACUGUAUUCUCAUUACCUGUGGGGAGAGCGACUGCCUCCCAGGGGACGUUUGACAUCUGGAAGCAUGUUUUAUCACAGCUGGGGUAAAGGUGGGGUGUUCUGGUGUCUAGUGGGCAGAGGCCAAGGAUGCUGCUAAAUAGCCUGCAGGACACACAGCGGCCUCUCCACCAAAGAUGAUCCAGCCUACAAUGUCAGUAGUGCCGAGGUCAAGAAAGCCUGUUGCAAGGGGUGGCUGAGGGUCCUGCUGGGUAGUUCUUUGAGGUGGAGACUGUAUCUUACUCAGUUUGUGUCUUAACUCGCGCAAGCGCACACAGCUUCCCACCGUGCCAGGGCCAGGGCGCCUUGGUUCAUAAGAGACCCUCGUGUCGGCUGAGUCCUGUCCACACUGAUGACCGCAGUGAAGUAUCUGAGCGGGUGGUGCAGGCAGAGGGCAAGGUGGCCCCUGCUCUGCUGGGCACUGGCACCCCCGCAGGACCACCUAAGUGAGACGUGGAGCAGGAUGUCCUCCUUUAGACUGUGUGACAACCAGAGCCCGUCUUCCUCCGUUAGGCUCCUUUUGCCAUGGAUGGUGUCAUUCGAUCAUCUUGCAUCAGAACGGGGCGGGGGGGGUUCUCAUUCAUUCGUCUGUUUCCUGUUCAUCUCCAAACUUUCAGGUUCUUCCUGCCAGCUGCCCCCGCAUCCCCACAAUCACCAUCAGACCUAACUUACCUGAUGCUGGUUUUGCACCAGCCCUGGGGCUGUGAAAACUACCCGCUUUGAGCUUCAUUCUGUGGAUGCCGUCCCACUGCUUAAAUCCAUCAGUGCUGGCCUGGCCUUCUCGCCUAGACAUGGACCCAUCCGGAUGUCACGUCAGCAUGAGGCCCCUCGCUCCCACCCCCCAGCACUGUCUCCUCUCUGUGUUUGGGGGACGUGAGGAAGUCCUUUUCCUCCCAGGCUCUUUCUCAAGUUUUUCUUGUUCCUGUAAAGCCCACCCAGCACGCAGCCUGGCUGAAAUCUACCUCCCGAGGCUCCUCGCCUGCCUCUGCUGGGCUCCCUUUCCCUGCACUCGGCCUUUCACGCUGUCACCUGGUCCACGUGCUUCCUUGUUGAUGGCGUUUCUACACAGGGCUUCCUGGUGUUGCUUUGUGAGGCCGGGUUUUCCCACCGUGGGUGCCCCAGGAGUCGAGUGCUGCGCCCCAGGAGGCAAGGGACCAGAGUGGAGGCUGUGGCGGGUGGGGAGGCACCGGUCAGGCUCCCUCGUGUCCUCACAGAGCUGAAUGUGCAGGGCCUCGUGUCCAGUCGUUCGGAAGGGAAACAGAUUCAGGGCCCGUAAGUACCCUGACCACGAGCAGCAGCGGAGAUGAGGUGAGGAUGCUGAGGCCUCCAGGUGGUGGUGUCCUUCCUCCCUUCAUAAAGAUGCCCAUGUGGUCCAGGCACAACCUGAUCCAACGACUUAACUGUCGCACGUGACUUAGCCAACUGUCCUUCGUGACUUAGAGAGGAACAAAAUCUUCCAUGUCCUCAAAAAGGAGGAGUUCCUGUGUGUGUGUAUAAAAUUUGUUUCAGAAAUUUUCAAAUUAAUGAAAAUAUGUUGGCUUAUUAUGUUUUAAAUUUAUAAAAUACUCAUCUUCAGAGAAAUAUAGAGCGUUUUAUGUUUCUUAUUUCUAUUUCUAGUAUUUCAGGAGUUCUCUGGUGCCCUAGCAGUUAAGGAUCUGGCAUUGUCACUGCUGUGGCCCAAGGUCCAUCUCUCGCCCAGGAACUUCCUCAUGCUGUAGGCAUGGCGGAAAAAAUGCAAAAUAAUAAUAAUAAUAAUAAUAAUAAUGAGUUCCCAUCGUGGCGCAGUGGAAACGAAUCUGACUAGGAACCAUGGGGUUGCGGAUUCAAUCCCUGGCCUCCUUGCUCAGCGUUGCCAUGAGCUGUGGUGUAGGUCGCAGAUGCGGCUCGGAUCUGGUGUUACCUUGGCUGUGGCUAUGGUGUAGGCUGGUGGCUACAGCUCCGAUUAGACCCCUGGCCUGGGAACCUCC